CACGUAGGCGGUUUUUUAAGUCAGAGGUGAAAGCCCAGUGCUCAACACUGGAACUGCCUUUGAAACUGGAAAACUUGAAUCUUGGAGAGGUCAGUGGAAUUCCGAGUGUAGAGGUGAAAUUCGUAGAUAUUCGGAAGAACACCAGUGGCGAAGGCGACUGACUGGACAAGUAUUGACGCUGAGGUGCGAAAGCGUGGGGAGCAAACA
rnacentral:rRNA from 1 species